rnacentral:lncRNA from 1 species
CGUCUGUGUCCCAGGGGGCGGGUAGGACCCACAGAAGUGUCCGUCUGUGUCCCAGGGGGCGGGUAGGACCCACAGAAGUGUCCGUCUGUGUCCCAGGGGGCGGGUAGGACCCACAGAAGUGUCCGUCUGUGUCCCAGGGGGCGGGUAGGACCCACAGAAGUGUCCGUCUGUGUCCCAGGGGGCGGGUAGGACCCACAGAAGUGUCCGUCUGUGUCCCAGGGGGCGGGUAGGACCCACAGAAGUGUCCGUCUGUGUCCCAGGGGGCGGGUAGGACCCACAGAAGUGUCCGUCUGUGUCCCAGGGGGCGGGUAGGACCCACAGAAGUGUCCGUCUGUGUCCCAGGGGGCGGGUAGGACCCACAGAAGUGUCCGUCUGUGUCCCAGGGGGCGGGUAGGACCCACAGAAGUGUCCCUCUGUGUCCCAGGAGGCGGGUAGGACCCACAGAAGUGUCCGUCUGUGUCCCAGGGGGCGGGUAGGACCCACAGAAGUGUCCCUCUGUGUCCCAGGAGGUGGGUAGGACCCACAGAAGUGUCUGUCUGUGUCCCAGGGGGCGGGUAGGACCCACAGAAGUGUCGACUUACUCUGGGGGCUGGAGCGGGGCUGCAGUGUGUUCAGAAGCAGAAAAUGUAGACCAGUCCUGGCCUCAUUCAUGCCAGACUCCAUGCAGGGGCCCCUCCUCAUGAAGCCCCAGGAGGGUCUUGUCCACCCUCAGGGAGGCUGAAGCCAGACCACACCCCUGAGAGUGUCCCGAAGCCCUUGCCUCCCCGGGGAAACUGCUCCCCAACCCCAUCUCCCUAGGAUCAUCAAUCUGUAAACUGCAGAGACGCCUGAAAGACUUCGCAGUGGUGAGUGUGACAAACACAUGCAUAAGAUUCCAAAAGAAAAAG